UGGCUACAUGCAAGUUGUUUUUUGCAUAUUAGUCCUUCCUCCCAGAUUCCCCUAUGACUAAUUUCAGCGUCUCAUUAAACUCUCCACAUCAGUUCUGUGCUGACACUGUUUGGACAAGAGACAACAGCCCAAUUACACACUCACACUCACACACACACACUCUCACACACACUCACACACACUCACUCACUCACACUCUCACACACACACUCACUCACUCACACUCUCACACACACACUCACUCACUCACACUCUCACACACACACUCACUCACUCACACUCUCACACACACACUCACUCACUCACACUCUCACACACACACUCACUCACUCACACUCUCACACACACACUCACUCACUCACACUCUCACACACACACUCACUCACUCACACUCUCACACACACACUCACUCACUCACACUCUCACACACACACUCACUCACUCACACUCUCACACACACACUCACUCACUCACACUCUCACACACACACUCACUCACUCACACUCUCACACACACACUCACUCACUCACACUCUCACACACACACUCACUCACUCACACUCUCACACACACACUCACUCACUCACACUCUCACACACACACUCACUCACUCACACUCUCACACACACACUCACUCACUCACACUCUCACACACACACUCACUCACUCACACUCUCACACACACACUCACUCACUCACACUCUCACACACACACUCACUCACUCACACUCUCACACACACACUCACUCACUCACACUCUCACACACACACUCACUCACUCACACUCUCACACACACACUCACUCACUCACACUCUCACACACACACUCACUCACUCACACUCUCACACACACACUCACUCACUCACACUCUCACACACACACUCACUCACUCACACUCUCACACACACACUCACUCACUCACACUCUCACACACACACUCACUCACUCACACUCUCACACACACACUCACUCACUCACACUCUCACACACACACUCACUCACUCACACUCUCACACACACACUCACUCACUCACACUCUCACACACACACUCACUCACUCACACUCUCACACACACACUCACUCACUCACACUCUCACACACACACACACACACACACAGAGAUUGAUGUGAUUGACAUUGUUGAUGCACACAUGAG
rnacentral:lncRNA from 1 species